UGCCUCGGCUGAAAUUGGAGAAGCAAAGGAAGGCUAAGCAAGAUUAUGAGAAUUAAAGGGAUGCCAUUGAAGCUGUUCAAAGCCGUAUUGAUGCAGCUAAAGCAUAACUAAAGUAAGGAAGAAAUAUCGGAGAAAGGAAUGGCAGAAAGGUUAAUCUUUUGAUAAUAGUAGGAGGACAACUACCGUCUUCAGUUCAAAUCCUGGUGGAAUCUUCAUUCAAAGUUGCGAUUUUCGUUCUGCUGCACUUUCUCAAACUCACAUCUUUGCAGCUAUAGCAGAGCCCUUCACUCCUCGAUGUAUUAUUUUGAAUGAAGACCAAGCUCAUGUCUCUUAUUUGAACAGCAAAUUUCCACAGCAUUGAUGGAUCUAUAUGUGUGCAUGUUUCUUGAUGCCAUCAACAUUAUGGGGUCAUAUUUGAGUUUUGUGCUUUUAUUCAAGAUGGGUCAUAUAAGCCUUUUUUAUCAUUCAGCUCUAUGAUUUCAAUUUGAAAUUAACAAAUCAAUUCUAGCAUAUAUGUCAUGUUCAUGAAUAAUGAACGCUGCAUCAGAUCAGAGAGAUGACCCUGAGGUAUUACGUUCCUGAUGCAAGCCAUCUACCAAAAAAGUGUCCUUUAAGCAUUAGCUUUACGAAGAAGAGAUGUUCAAGGUUUGAUAGGAAGCAGUAAAUAUCACAAGUGGACACAUAGGUUCAACAUGUCGAGUGAAAAGAAUUCAAUGGAACAGUAAAAGAAAUCAAUUCAAUGGAAAGCCUUGAAGUUGAAAUUUUUGUCACUAUAUCAGAGCUUAUUGCAACUUCUCAAAACCUGUCAACUGUUCUGCCUUUAUCCACCUUUGCUAUUCAAUUCUUUGCUUGACAAGCUCUUAUUGGAAUUUGACUUUUCCAGCUAAACAUGGCUACUAGAGUGUAGGCUUGGUUCCCUUUACUCCCUUAUUUUGAAAACGUCAAGUUGUCACUAAAGGGACAGCACAUGAGAAUCAAAUU